UUGGUGAUGAACAGCAUCAUGGAAGUGU
rnacentral:piRNA from 1 species